CGUACACUCCUGCGGGAGGCAGCAGUGGGGAAUAUUGGACAAUGGGGGCAACCCUGAUCCAGCCAUGCCGCGUGAGUGAUGAAGGCCCUAGGGUUGUAAAGCUCUUUUGUGCGGGAAGAUAAUGACGGUACCGCAAGAAUAAGCCCCGGCUAACUUCGUGCCAGCAGCCGCGGUAAUACGAAGGGGGCUAGCGUUGCUCGGAAUCACUGGGCGUAAAGGGUGCGUAGGCGGGUCUUUAAGUCAGGGGUGAAAUCCUGGAGCUCAACUCCAGAACUGCCUUUGAUACUGAGGAUCUUGAGUCCGGAAGAGGUGAGUGGAACUGCGAGUGUAGAGGUGAAAUUCGUAGAUAUUCGCAAGAACACCAGUGGCGAAGGCGGCUCACUGGUCCGGUACUGACGCUGAGGCACGAAAGCGUGGGGAGCAAACAGGAUUAGAAACCCCAGUAGUCCCAUGA
rnacentral:rRNA from 1 species